rnacentral:rRNA from 1 species
CCUACGGGUGGCAGCAGUGAGGAAUAUUGGUCAAUGGGCGCGAGCCUGAACCAGCCAAGUCGCGUGAGGGAGGACGGCCCUACGGGUUGUAAACCUCUUUUGCCGGGGAGCAACGGGCACCACGUGUGGCGUCACUGAGAGUACCCGGAGCACAAGCAUCGGCUAACUCCGUGCCAGCAGCCGCGGUAAUACGGAGGAUGCGAGCGUGAUCCGGAUUUAUUGGGUUUAAAGGGGGCGUAGGCGGAUCGUUAAGUCUGUGGUCAAAUUGAGGGGCUCAACCUCUUCCCGCCAUUGAAACUGGCGUUCGUGAGUGGAAGAGAAGUAUGCGGAAUGCGUGGUGUAGCGGUGAAAUGCAUAGAUAUCACGCAGAACCCCGAUUGCGAAGGCAGCAUGCCGGCUUCCGACUGACGCUGAAGCACGAAAGCGUGGGGAUCGAACAGGAUUAGAUACCCCAGCAGUC